rnacentral:lncRNA from 1 species
GUCGAUUAUACAAUGUGGUUGUUUUGUUGAUGUGUUUCGUUUAUGUUAACUCUAUAGUCCAUCGGAGAUGAAUAACAGUAUUUUACAAUCCAAACAAUAUAGGCCCGUUUUAGAUGACAGAAGGUCCAUACUGGAAAGUUAUCAAUCAAUAUACGAGACUGGAUACAUGAACGUUCACAUACUUUAUUUUUCCAUCCAACAUAUAUACAUUCACAGUUCAUAAAGAAUAUUUACAAAACAGUAAUCAUGGCAACAUACAUUUACCCGCCGCUGUUCGUAGAU